GCUCACUUCAGCAGUACACACACACUAAAAUUGGAAUGAUAUAGAGAAGAUUAGCAUGGCCCCUGCAUAGAGAUGACACGCAAAUUCGUGAAGCGUCCCAUAUUUUU
ensembl:snRNA U6 U6 spliceosomal RNA